UACAGAGGUCUCAAGCGUUGUUCGGAAUUAUUGGGCGUAAAGGGCGCGUAGGCGGUGCGGUAAGUCAGAUGUGAAAAUCCCAGGGCUCAACCGUGGAAGUGCAUCUGAAACUACCGUACUAGAGUCUCGGAGAGGGUGGUGGAAUUCCCAGUGUAGAGGUGAAAUUCGUAGAUAUUGGGAGGAACACCCGUGGCUAAGGCGGUUCUCUAGUACGGUACUGACGCUGAGA
rnacentral:rRNA from 1 species